rnacentral:rRNA from 1 species
GACGAACCGUGCGAACGUUGUUCGGAAUCACUGGGCUUAAAGGGCGCGUAGGCGGGUUGCCAAGUCAGGGGUGAAAUCUUUCGGCCCAACCGGAAAAGGGCCCCUGAUACUGGCAGUCUCGAGGGAGGUAGGGGUCGAGGGAACUUCCGGUGGAGCGGUGAAAUGCGUAGAUAUCGCUUGGAACGCCGAAGGUGAAAACAGGCUGCUGGGGUUGCGCCGACGCUGAGACGCGAAAGCUAGGGGAGCGAACAGG